CCUACGGGAGGCAGCAGUGAGGAAUCUUGGUCAAUGGGCGCGAGCCUGAACGAGCCAAGUCGCGUGAGGGAAGAAGGUCCUCUGGAUUGUAAACCUCUUUUGUCGGGGAGCAAAAGACGCCACGCGUGGCGUUCCGAGAGUACCCGAAGAAAAAGCAUCGGCUAACUCCGUGCCAGCAGCCGCGGUACUACGGAGGAUGCGAGCGUUAUCCGGUUUUAUUGGGGUUAAAGGGUGCGGAGCGGGAAGAUCAAGUCAGCGGUAAAAUUGAGAGGCUCAACCUCGUCGAGCCGUUGAAACUGGUUGUCUUGAGUGAGCGAGAAGUAUGCGGAAGGCGUGGUGUAGCGGUGAAAUGCAUAGAUAUCACGCAGAACGCCGAUUGCGAAGGCAGCAUACCGGCGCUCAACUGACGCUCAUGCACGAAAGUGUGGGUAGCGAACAGGAUUAGAUACCCUAGUAGUC
rnacentral:rRNA from 1 species